rnacentral:rRNA from 1 species
UACAGAGGUCUCAAGCGUUGUUCGGAUUCAUUGGGCGUAAAGGGUGCGUAGGCGGCGCGGUAAGUCGGGGGUGAAAUCUCGGGGCUUAACUCCGAAACUGCAUUCGAUACUGCCGUGCUUGAGGACUGGAGAGGAGACUGGAAUUUACGGUGUAGCGGUGAAAUGCGUAGAUAUCGUAAGGAAGACCAGUGGCGAAGGCGGGUCUCUGGGCCGGUACUGACGCUGAGGAGCGAAAGCGUGGGGAGCAAACAGG